UGUGGGAAGGCUUAUUUACGACACCAUAAAAAUCAUCCCGCCGCUGUUGGAAUGAGGAAGUGCCGUUGCAGUGGAUGAUGAGGCAGCUGCUCCCCCUGUGUCCGGAAUCAAGCAUACCCUCAGGAAGCUGGAAGCUGGAGAAGGUUUAAAGGGACAGUCUUUAUGUGAGAUUUGCUGCUGCAGAUCUGGUGCACACGUGUGCUGACAGUCUCAACCAGAAAACAGAUUCAUUUGAGGCUUCCUCACUUCUUUGUUGCGUCUCCAGAAAUGGUGUCCUGGGCAUUUCUUUGUGUCUUUCUUCUGACCUUCAUUCAUGGUAUCUCUUCCCAAACGUGCCUUUGUGCCAGUGGCUUUUGUGAGCCUGGCUGGGUGCAGUAUAUGGACGCCUGUUAUAAAAAUGAGAAGGCACCAAAGAACUGGAAAGAUGCUGAGGCAAGUGAGGGAUUUCAAGGGGGGAAUGAGAAAUAGAGCACCCACAUUUUCAACAAGGGAGCAUGCAACUUGCUUGCAAAAACAUUAUCACUGGUGACCGGUUUGUCUUUGGGC